AGUGAACGCUGGCGGUAGGCCUAACACAUGCAAGUCGAACGGUAGCACAGUAAGAGCUUGCUCUUACGGGUGGCGAGUGGCGGACGGGUGAGGAAUACAUCGGAAUCUACUUUUUCGUGGGGGAUAACGUAGGGAAACUUACGCUAAUACCGCAUACGACCUACGGGUGAAAGCAGGGGAUCUUCGGACCUUGCGCGAUUGAAUGAGCCGAUGUCGGAUUAGCUAGUUGGCGGGGUAAAGGCCCACCAAGGCGACGAUCCGUAGCUGGUCUGAGAGGAUGAUCAGCCACACUGGAACUGAGACACGGUCCAGACUCCUACGGGAGGCAGCAGUGGGGAAUAUUGGACAAUGGGCGCAAGCCUGAUCCAGCCAUACCGCGUGGGUGAAGAAGGCCUUCGGGUUGUAAAACCCUUUUGUUGGGAAAGAAAAGCAGCAGGUUAAUACCCCGCUGUUCUGACGGUACCCAAAGAAUAAGCACCGGCUAACUUCGUG
rnacentral:rRNA from 1 species